rnacentral:piRNA from 1 species
AGAAUUUCGCAAUGUGCAGGGCUCAA